CACCUCCACGCAGGAGGGCGGAACGGAUGGAUUAUGGGAUUUAUCCAGGAGUCAUUUCUUACCGAGUAACAGGACUCCGUGGCAGGCGGACAGGCGAAAUUGCGGCGGGGUAGACGUUAAACGCUGGAAAAUUAGGGAGGGGUAACCCUAUCUGCCCACUUACAAAUGUCCGAUAAUCCGGUACAUGUGCAGGCCACUGAGGAGAUACUCUCCCUUUUAAGCCCCCUUGUCGGUCCCAGCAGAUCUUACAGCGUUUGGCGUGGAACACAAAGUCACAUGCAAUUAAGUUCGCAAUCCUGACAAAGACUCUCUAGGGAUGCGGGAACCACAAAAGUGGGAAACUCCCAUUUGUUGGGUUAGUAGCGAGCGACGCGAUGAUUCAGAGUGAUGCAGCAGAAUGUUCAGUUUUUCCAGGAUGAUUUACAUCCUCAAACAGCAGAGAAGGACACAUGCUGAAGACGCCACAGCUCUGAGUAUUCUCCGCUCCUGUCCACUGCCGAGGGGAAAGUCUGCCUCUGUUUUACUUUCCGAGCGCCAGGUGAAGAAAGAGGGGUAAAUGGGAGUCAUAAUGGGAGUCAUUAUUCCCCGCCGGCGACAGCAGAAGACAGGACGGAGUGUGUCAUGUGUGAUGACAGAGACUAAAGUAAAGCAUGAACGAGGAACAGCUGAAGACAUGCAGGACGGAGUGUCAUGUGUGAUGACAGAGACUACAGCAUCCUAAAGAAAACCGUGCGCGAUGAUGCAUUCGACGGAGAAAGAGUGUGUGUGUGUGAUGGACGAUGAACAGAAGCAGUAGAUCUGGUCAGUGUACGUGCACGCGAGCGGGUCACACACACAUACAACUCAUUUAUUACUAAGUGACAGUUCCAUACUCAACUAAAUGAGGCUUGACCUGCCGCCUGCCUGUUUAUGCCUUCAUUCAAAUGUCUUAAUUGCGUGUGUGAGAUCAAGUACAUCAUGCAUAGACGUGGCCCUCAUUCAUGAACGACCAUCUCUCCAAACCACACCAAACGCCGCGGGUUUGUGGAAGCAUGAAAACACACACAGCGCUCAUAACAUUUUCCACCAUGUGAACUUUUUGUGUUGUUUGACACUGCUGUUGUAAUAUGUGUGCAUGGCUUAUUUUCAUUCGGAAAUUUCUCGGGUUUGUUUCUCGCGUCAGGUUUUGGGGUUUUUUUGGAAGUGCAUCAAUCCAUGAUAAAAGUGUAAUAAAGACCUUCUGAAGUGAA